rnacentral:lncRNA from 1 species
UUCAGAGAGAAGUUGCUAAGAAGGCUUCUGUUGCAAAUGGCACAAGCUGAAUGUUUCCCAGUGCCAGGCAAUCCCUCACCCAAGACAACUUGUACAGGCCCUUCACAUCCUCUUGGUGCUUUUUCAACACAGCAGCUGUACAGGCUGACUUCUGUCAAUCUGUGUUUUCCAAAGCACCAUCUAUUGAAAAGUCUCUUAUUUCUCCAUUAAAUUUUUUGGCACCUUCAUUGAAAAUCAGUCGAGCAUAAAUGUAAGUAACUAUUUCUGUAUUCUCAAUUCCAUUCCAUUGAUCUGUG